GACGAACGCUGGCGGCGUGCCUAAUACAUGCAAGUCGAGCGCAUCGAUGGGAGCUUGCUCCCUGAAGUGAGCGGCGGAUGGGUGAGUAACACGUGGGUAACCUGCCUGUCAGAUCGGGAUAACUGUGGGAAACCGCAGCUAAUGCCGGAUAAUCCUUCGCACCGCAUGGUGCGGAGUUGAAAGAUGGUUUCGGCCAUCACUGACAGAUGGGCCCGCGGUGCAUUAGUUAGUUGGCGGGGUAACGGCCCACCAAGACUGCGAUGCAUAGCCGACCUGAGAGGGUGAUCGGCCACAUGGGGACUGAGACACGGCCCAAACUCGUGCGGGAGGCAGCAGUAGGGAAUCUUCCACAAUGGACGAAAGGCUGAUGGAGCAACGCCGCGUGAGCGAAGAAGGUUUUCGGAUCGUAAAGCUCUGUUGCUGGAGAAGAACGAGUACGAGAGGAAAUGCUCGUACUGUGACGGUAUCCAGCCAGAAAGCCACGGCUAACUACGUGCCAGCAGCCGCCGUAACAC
rnacentral:rRNA from 1 species